UCCUAGCUGUGGGCCGGCAGCCGCGGUAAGACCGAGGGUGGAGGCGUGAAUCGGAAUUACUGGGCGUAAAGCGCGCGUAGGUGGGUCGUUAAGUUGGAUGUGAAAUCCCCGGGCUCAACCUGGGAACUGCAUCCAAAACUGGCGAGCUAGAGGAGGGCAGAGGGUGGUGGAAUUUCCUGUGUAGCGGUGAAAUGCGUAGAUAUAGGAAGGAACACCAGUGGCGAAGGCGACCACCUGGGCUCAUACUGACACUGAGGUGCGAAAGCGUGGGGAGCAAACAGGAUUAGAUACCCGAGUAUUC
rnacentral:rRNA from 1 species